CACCCCUUUGUGUUUUGAAUUUUUGUGCUUAGUGUUUUUGGACUGCUUACACCAUAUCACCUAGAACAGAGGAAGAAAGAUCACAAUGACGGUUCAGCCCUUUCACCAGAAAGACCAUCGCUUCAAAUGGAAAUGACCAGUUGCUGCAUGAUGAUGUUGGUGGAUGAGUCACCCCGUCUUCACGUGACAUCAUGAAUCACUGCACCUCUCCAUGGGCAGAGCUGCAAGCAUCAACCACUUCACUCCUCUCUUAUCUCAGCCCUCAUUCCCUCCUCCCUGCCUCUGCCCAGCCGUGUGUUACCUAGCAUGCUCUCUGUCUUCACUGUUCUCCACUUGUGUCGUAGCCUUAGAUCCAGUCCCUGUAUUGGCUGUUUUCAUUUACUAAUGCAUGUCCCAUCUAACCAUGUCUGUUUUAAAUUGUUUUAUGUUUUUCUUCUGUCUGCAACAGUGUUAUUUGUGCUG